rnacentral:rRNA from 1 species
ACGCACGCUGGCGGCGUGCCUCAUCCCUGCAAGUAGAACGCUGAAGGCGGAGCUUGCUCUUCUGGAUGAGUUGCGAACGGGUGAGUAACGCGUAGGUAACCUGCCUGGUAGCGGGGGAUAACUAUUGGAAACGAUAGCUAAUACCGCAUAACAGUAGAUGUUGCAUGACAUUUACUUAAAAGGUGCAAUUGCAUCACUACCAAAUGGACCUGCGUUGUAUUAGCUAGUUGGUGGGGUAACGGCUCACCAAGGCGACGAUACAUAGCCGACCUGAGAGGGUGAUCGGCCACACUGGGACUGAGACACGGCCCAGACUCCUACGGGAGGCAGCAGUAGGGAAUCUUCGGCAAUGGACGGAAGUCUGACCGAGCAACGCCGCGUGAGUGAAGAAGGUUUUCGGAUCGUAAAGCUCUGUUGUAAGAGAAGAACGAGUGUGAGAGUGGAAAGUUCACACUGUGACGGUAUCUUACCAGAAAGGGACGGCUAACUACGUG